GGUGGUUAAGCGCUGGGCUGCUAACCGAAGGGUUGGUGGUUCAAAUCCACCAGCCACUG
rnacentral:tRNA from 1 species